ensembl:lncRNA
GGAGGCUUGUUGUUAUUUCGGAUUCUCAGACUGGCUAUGAAACAAUCCGUUUGUGAAGAGACAGAUGCUGAAACCCAUCAUAACAUUGGAGGAUUUUGGGCCAUACUUACAUUGCCUGGUGUUCUAAGGUUCACUUCUUGGCUUGAUGAAUGAAGUUUUAGGUGUGACGGUGUGACACUUGCCGGUGCCCUCUAAUGACAUUUCAAUGAAAGCGGAUCCUGCUCAUUAAAGAAAAUGUCUGGUGAAAGGGAAAAUUGGGUAGAUGAUGUCAGGCAGUGGCCAAAACUUACUGAUAAAGCAAUCUCAACAAUGGACUCGUUUCCUUCCUUUUUGGUGUCUCCUGUACUUUCUGUUUGGAGGUCAUUGCAUGUGUCUGAUUGAGCAACUGUCAUUAUGCAUUUCUGUUUGCAGUGCUUUGCUUAAAUUUUGAACCCUUAGCAACAAUAAAAAGUCUUUGGAGUUUUUCCAUUUGGGUUGUGGUUGUACAUGUUUUUCCUUGAUUUAAUAUCCUUAUGGAUAUGUGCAAUGCAACAAUUUAUUUCACACUAAAAAAAAUGAACCAGCUAUAAACACUUUUUUUUUGAGCUGCAUGUGGUAUAGCAGUCUUAAAUGCAAUAACUAAAAUAAUAAUUUUCCUAAAUAACUUUUCUUGUUGGCUUAUCAACAGUUUAAUAUGUAAAUGGAAAUAAUUAAUUUAAUGGUCUUACCUGUUAUUUUCCACUUUUCUUUUGUUCACGUUUUCCUUGGCUGCAUUCAUCACUCUAUAGCAUUCUUUAAGAACUCCUGGGAUGCAACCUUAUUUUUCUUCAUGC